rnacentral:rRNA from 1 species
AACUAACGCUGGCGGCGUGCCUAACACAUGCAAGUCGUACGAGAAAGUCCCGUUCGCGGGAUGAGUAAAGUGGCGCACGGGUGAGUAAUGCGUGGAUAAUCUGCCCUUUAGUUGGGAAUAACGUGCCGAAAGGUGCGCUAAUACCCGAUAAUACUGCACAACUACUGUUGUGUAGUCAAAGAAGGCCUCUGUUUACAAGCUUUUGCUGAAGGAUGAGUCCGCGUACCAUUAGCUGGUUGGUGGGGUAAUGGCCUACCAAGGCUACGAUGGUUAGCUGGUCUGAGAGGAUGAUCAGCCACACUGGAACUGAGACACGGUCCAGACUCCUACGGGAGGCAGCAGUGAGGAAUAUUGCGCAAUGGGGGCAACCCUGACGCAGCAACGCCGCGUGAGUGAGGAAGGUUUUCGGACCGUAAAGCUCUGUCGAGCGGGAAGAAAUGCAUGGUGGCUAAUAUCCAUCAUGCUUGACGGUACCGCUAAAGGAAGCACC